GAUGAAGAACGCAGCGAAAUGCGAUACUUGGUGUGAAUUGCAGAAUCCCGUGAACCAUCGAGUCUUUGAACGCAAGUUGCGCCCGAAGCCAUUAGGCCGAGGGCACGUCUGCCUGGGCGUCACACGUCGUUGCCCCCCCCAACCCCCUCGGGAGUUGGAUGGGACGGAUGAUGGCCUCCCGUGUGCUCAGUCACGCGGUUGGCAUAAAUACCAAGUCCUCGGCGACCAACGCCACGACAAUCGGUGGUUGUCAAACCUCGGUUUCCUGUCGUGCGCGCGUGUUGAUCGAGUGCUUUCUUAAACAAUGCGUGUCGAUCCGUCGAUGCUUUCAACGCGACCCCAGGUCAGGCGGGGUUACCCGCUGAAUUUAAGCAUAUCAAUAAGCGGGGA
rnacentral:misc_RNA from 1 species